rnacentral:misc_RNA from 1 species
CGCGACGUAAAGGGAUUUUUUUUGGAAUUGUUAGAAUACAAAACAAUUGCAGACUCCACAAUUUCUAUUGUCAUGAAACCGCAUCGAUCAGGACCAAUCAACAGCCGAGAUCGGGAAGCACCCGAACCAAUGAAUUCAUCGAUUACGUGGAAAAGGGAAUUUACCACUGCUUAUUUGACUGACUCAUGUUUUCAGUGCAUAUAAAAGCGCAAAAGAAUCCGCGACGAAAUAUCGGUAACGAGUCUAAGCAAAGACUGCCUAAUGUACUAAAUCAAGGCAAAAAUUCAUUUGAUAUAUUUUUGAGGUAUCUUUUGGUAUGGCGGACUCAAAGAUUCUAGUUAACGCGCAUGAAUUCAACAGACUACGUUCUACCGUCUAUUUUCUUCUGCAAGAGAAACAGCAAUUGGAAUCAAAACUCAUCGGUGUUCAAGUUCUUACAGAUCAAUUGGACAGAAAAGAAGAAGAUUGUAGGAUUUUAAAGUUUAAGGUGCAAGAGUUUGAGGUUUUGUUGUCGAGGGCAGAGAAUCGUAUCGCUCAACUUACUCAACAAAACGGUAAAGGUUUUCAGAAAGGUGUUGUUACUCCUGGUGUCUCAAAAAAGCUAUUGGACUCACUAACUAGGGAAAAUACUAAACUCAAACUUGCAUUAGAGCAUGUUUUGAAUAAAACUCCUAAAGGAAUAGACCUGGCAGUGGAAAACCAUGAUCUUCAUGACAUGGUUAUGGCACAAAAAGACGAAUUAGAACAAGUAAGAAAAGCAGCCGAAGAACUAAGAAGUGCUUUGAGAGCUGUUGAAUCCGAAAAUACCACAGAGUUACGAGGACAAGUAGCAAGAUUAACAGCAGAGCUGACGAAUACUGAAAGAAGUCUCAAAGCGAAGCAAGUGUAUUGUGAAGCAGUCGUAAACGAAAAUGAGAGAUUAAAAUCUUCAAUAGAAGCAGUGAAAAGUGAAAGGAUAACACAGCUUGCGAUACUCAAGAAACUGGCCAAUGAUUAUCCAGUAAUCAAGGAAGUCAUUGAGAGAGCAUGGUGUGGGCCAGAAGACAAUGUAGAUGGACAAAAUGGACAGCACAAAGCAGAAAUUAUGAAACAUGUCAAAAAGAUUGAAGAAUUGCAGAAGCAACUGGAAGAAAAUGAAAAGUACAAAGGAGAUCUGGAAAAUGAAGUACAAAAGUUGAGAGAAAGCUAUGCGAUACUGGCUGAAGAAAUGCACCAACUUGAUGCACAGUCCAAGGCAAUGCUAGAUGGUUUCAUUGAAGAGAAUGAGAAACUUAAAGAUGAAAUGAGAGAGAUGGGUGCAUCAUUUGAAGAGGCAAACAUGGUCAAGGGUCUUAUGGAAGAACAGUGCAAAGGAUAUGAAAAUGACUUCAGGGCUGAACAAAAGGAGAAGGAGAAGCUCACUGCUGAAUUUAAGACACUCCUGAAAAAACUGCAAGAAACAACAGAGGAAAAUAAACAACUGAAAUCUGAGAUGGACAAAAUCAAAGAAUACUUCAAGGCAGAACUUGACAGGAGAAAAGUAUAUACUCCGCCACAACCUGCACCGCGCCAGAAACCUCCAUCAUUUCAACAGUAUUCGCAGAAUCGAUCUACAGUAAGAAAAUCACCCAGUCCACCACCACAGGAGCCAUGGAAAGCAAGCCAGGCAAGUGGAGGAGGUUACAAAGCUCCUCAUUUCAACCCACAAUACCAUGGAGUAGUGUGUUCAGAUGGUCCUGUAGAUACUCCUGGGCGUGGAUGCCUGAAGUGUCCAAUAUGUCACAGAGCUGUACCACAUGAGCAAAUGGAAGAACAUAUUAAUGACUGUGAUCAUACAUAAAUAACAUGAAGUCCAUGGCAGGGAAAAGUUGGAUUUUAAAAUGCGUCGUCCUGUAAAAUUUGAAAUCUAUUUGACAUUCUAGUACUGCUGCCAAUCAGUGUGUGCUAACUAAAGAAGGCAGUACUGUAGUUGCACUAGAGUGCUUUCCAAAGGUGAAUUUAAUGCAUAAUUCAUUGAUGGCCUGAACAAAUCUCAGCCUUAUGUGACCCAUAAGCAUGAGAAGGAGGAUGAGGAGAAUAACACAGCUUUCGACCAAGGAAAAGAUUGGAGUCAAGCAACUGACUCGGGAGAAUAUAAAUGGCUGGCCAUCCUUAUACAGCCCUUGGCAAAUACCAGAUUACACAACAUUAUUUUUGGAGAUUGAGAAUAUAUACUACAGAUCCAACCAAACUGUGGCAGCACAUCAAAAAUUAAUGUAGCUAACACACCCACAUUUAUCUGCUUUCACGCCCAUAAUUGUAAGUUUCAUCGAUAGGUAAGACUAGUGAAAAUGAAGGUAAAUUUGUUUUAAAUACCCAGGACAGUGAAAACAAAGUGGGUGUGUCAGCAGACAAAUGUGGGUGUGUUAGUCACAUGAAUUUUUGAUGUGAUGCCACAGUUCGAUGGGAUCCAUGUAGUAACAGUUCGUGGGUAGCCAGGAAGAUUGAACCACAUAAGAAUAUCUGGCUACCAAUAAUACAAGGACAACUGCACGAUGAAGGCCUAAUCUGUGAAAAUUCUCUGCUUUCCCUUUACCUAUAAUGCUUUAUGCUUUGAGGAGUAGGUAGAAGAGAAAAUUGUUAAUACUUUUACCUAGGCUGAUAAGACAAGUUUUUCUGCAUAGUGGGAAAUAAAAAUAAAUAUAGAAUUUUGGCAAUUUUGUAGCAAAAAUUUUACAAAUUCUAAAAGAUGAAUUUUACGAAAUUAAAUUUGAUCAACAAGAGUAAAAAAGAAAAAUUAUCACAGACAUUAUUAAAGAACAAUCAGCUGUGCUCCUUUAGAUAGGUUUUGCAAACUUUGGAUUUCUAAAUGCAAAAGAUUUCAUGGUUUUAUUGUUAGUAAACAAACUAAUAAUUAGACUGAAUAUAUAUAUAUAUAUAUAUAUAUACAAUGAUUUUCUUUUCCCCUUAAGGGAAUGGAACAUAUUUAAGUAAUAUUUUCUGAUUUUAAACCAUUUUUCCAUUAUCAGUUUUGCUAUUUUUAUAUACAUUACAUGUAAUGUUGUCAACUUACUCCUCAAAGCAAAAAGCACCACAGUUAAUGGGAAAAUAGAGAAUAAAAGCAAAUAGCACUAAAGUCUUCAGACAAAGUCAGGGAUCCAAAGAUUCGUUGACACCUCAGAGAUAACAAUUCUAGCAGCUGUACAACAUGUUUCCAAGCAUUCUUCCUGCAAGAAAAGAACAGUAUUUACUACAGCUAAAUGACAAAAUGGAAUGUGAUGGACUGCAGAAACAACCACCAGGGAUGGCAAUGGUUUCAUUGUACCACAAGAAAUCUUCUACAGCAUUUAUAUUUCUAAUGAUGCAUGAACUACAGAUUUAUUAUCUGAAAAUGCAUGGCAGCACUGAAAUAAACAAAAGAUUUUAUGCAAAAAAGGAAAAUUACAAACACGAAGAAACCACAUAAAAUAUGAGGAAAAGAAUAAUGAUCAAUAGGUGGAAUAGAGAUCGUACUGCCAGUAAACGUGUACAACUAAUAUGGUCACAAAAGAAAAAUGAGGAUGAGAUCAUGUGACAAAGUCGGAUAUUAUUUUUUGAAAAGAACAUCUAGAUGAUAGGACGAAAUUCCAAAAUUAGUAUAAAAAGUAAAAACAAUGGAAGGGGGAUUCUAGAAGAUAGUUAAACAUCAAUAUUUAUGAAAAAUUGAAAAUAAAAAGAAGACGAAGAAGAUGCAAGCAAAUAGUCGGACAAACACAAGUCUAGUAUAGCUUGUCGUAAAGCAGCAAAUUCUGUAUAUUUGUACAAAUAAGUGACUUAUAAUAACAUCAAAAUAUCAACUUAUGUAUGUAUAGUUUUGUUUAUGAUCCUCUAGUGUAAAUUGCUCAAGUUUUAGAGGUGAUGUUUGAUAACUAUAUAUUUUUAAUUAUUGCUUAUAUCUGUUACUUGUACAAAAAAAAAAAAAAAAGAAGUCAGUGAUUUUUUCACUAAAUAAAGAUGCGAAAUAAUUAUAAAUAGCGUCUAGUUGCAUUCAGAAGCUAGAGGUUUUAAUUCUGAAUAUUAUGUAUGAAAUGUUUCAUUUGUAACGUACUAAACCUCUCAAAAUUAUUUUCAGUAAGUGGGAAUUAUCACCCUGUGAUAAAUGUAAGUUAAAACGUACGCUUUUUCAAAAAUAAACUGAAUCUUACGAAAUGUA